AUGAGGAUUUUGGGGACUAGGAAAAUGAUGAUGGGGGGAGACUGAAGAUAGCACACACCAGGCAAGCGGAGAAACCAUUCUCCCCGACAGCCAGGAACUGUUCAUCACCCUGGAGUCAAUACCCUCACAACCUGGGCUCCCAAACCUUGAAGGUGGAGAAGUCACCUCUGCUGCAAAUGUUUCAACGCUGCCACUAGCAUCUCCGUCCCAGAGGCUAGCGCAGAUUAGAAGGUGAAAAAAACGCACUCGCGAGAAAUGUUCUCCGAGCUCAUGCAGUUCACCCGCACUGAAAGAGCCGAGCAGAACAUGUGGAGG